rnacentral:rRNA from 1 species
GCAUGUGGUGGAUGCCUUGGCGAUCACAGGCGAUGAAGGACGUUGUAGCCUGCGUUAUGCUGCGGGGAGCUGGCAAACAAGCUUUGAUCCGCAGAUGUCCGAAUGGGGGAAACCCACUCCGAAAGGAGUAUCCCGCGCUGAAUACAUAGGCGCGAGGAAGCGAACCGAGCGAACUGAAACAUCUAAGUAGCUCGAGGAAAAGAAAUCAACCGAGAUUCCGAAAGUAGUGGCGAGCGAACGCGGAAGAGGCCAAACCUGAGGUAGAAAUACCCCGAGGGGUUCGGACUGCUUUUAGGACUGCAACUGUUAGCCGAAUGGUAUGGGAAGGCCAUCCGGAGAGUGUGAGAGACACGUAGGCGAAAACGGGAGCAGCUGCGCAGUAUCCAGGUCA